rnacentral:rRNA from 1 species
AACGAACGCUGGCGGCAGGCCUAACACAUGCAAGUCGAGCGCCCCGCAAGGGGAGCGGCGGACGGGUGAGUAACGCGUGGGAAUAUGCCCUUUGCUACGGAAUAGUCUCGGGAAACUGGGGGUAAUACCGUAUACGCCCUUUGGGGGAAAGAUUUAUCGGCGAAGGAUUAGCCCGCGUUGGAUUAGGUAGUUGGUGGGGUAAUGGCCUACCAAGCCGACGAUCCAUAGCUGGUUUGAGAGGAUGAUCAGCCACACUGGGACUGAGACACGGCCCAGACUCCUACGGGAGGCAGCAGUGGGGAAUCUUAGACAAUGGGGGCAACCCUGAUCUAGCCAUGCCGCGUGAGUGAUGAAGGCCUUAGGGUUGUAAAGCUCUUUCAGCUGGGAAGAUAAUGACGGUACCAGCAGAAGAAGCCCCGGCUAACUCCG